CAGUCGCCGCGGGAAUACAGAGGGUGCGAGCGUUAAUCGGAUUUACUGGGCGUAAAGCGUGCGUAGGCGGCUUCUUAAGUCGGAUGUGAAAUCCCUGAGCUUAACUUAGGAAUUGCAUUCGAUACUGGGAAGCUAGAGUAUGGGAGAGGAUGGUAGAAUUCCAGGUGUAGCGGUGAAAUGCGUAGAGAUCUGGAGGAAUACCGAUGGCGAAGGCAGCCAUCUGGCCUAAUACUGACGCUGAGGUACGAAAGCAUGGGGAGCAAACAGGAUUAGAGACCCCGGUAGUCCCUGUCUCUUAUAA
rnacentral:rRNA from 1 species